CACACACACACACACAGGUCACACACACACCCAUACGCAGGCCACACCCAUACGCAGGUCACACACACACCCAUACGCAGGUCACACCCACACCCAUACGCAGGUCACACCCACACCCAUACGCAGGUAAUACACACACACACGCAGGUAACACACAUACACACACACACACGCAGGUAACACACAUACACACACACACACGCAGGUAACACACACACACACACGCAGGUAACACACACACACACACGCAGGUAACACACACACACGCAGGUAACACACACACACACACACACACACGCAGGUAACACACACACACACACGCAGGUAACACACACACACACACGCAGGUAACACACACACACACACGCAGGUAACACACACACCCACACGCAGGUAACACACACACCUGAGGUGUGUUCCACAGGGAAAAUCAAAUGUUAGCUAACAUCUUCCAUUUGUUUUGUGUUAGCUAGCCGCUAACGUUGGCUAACAGUCUGAGACUGUGUGCGACGAACUUAAGUGUCUGUUUGAAGUUUAAACUGUGUGUGUGUCUCUCUCUCUGUCUCUGUCUCUCACUCUCUCUCUCUCUGUCUCUCUCUCUCUGUCUCUCUCUCUGUCUCUCUCUGUCUCUCUCUGUCUCUCUCUCUGUCUGUCUCUCUCUCUGUCUCAC
rnacentral:lncRNA from 1 species